rnacentral:pre_miRNA from 1 species
AUAAUACUCCCUCCAUCCCAAAAUUCCUGUCUUAGAUUUUUCUAGAUAUGAAUGUAUCUAGCCACGUUUUAGUAUUUUGAUACAAUCAUUUCUAAACAAACUUAAGACAAGAAUUUUGGGAUGGAGGGAGUAAUAA